GACGAACGCUGGCGGCGUGCCUAAUACAUGCAAGUAGAACGCUGAAGGAGGAGCUUGCUUCUCUGGAUGAGUUGCGAACGGGUGAGUAACGCGUAGGUAACCUGCCUGGUAGCGGGGGAUAACUAUUGGAAACGAUAGCUAAUACCGCAUAAUAGUAGAUGUCGCAUGACAUUUGCUUAAAAGGUGCAAUUGCAUCACUACCAGAUGGACCUGCGUUGUAUUAGCUAGUUGGUGAGGUAACGGCUCACCAAGGCAACGAUACAUAGCCGACCUGAGAGGGUGAUCGGCGAAGCUGUGACUGAGAAACGGCCCAGACGCCUACGCGAGGCAGCAGUAGGGAAGCUACGGCAAUAGACGGAAGUCUGACCGAGCAACGCUGCGUGAGUGAAGAAGGUUUUCGGAUCGUAAAGCUCUGUUGUAUGAGAAGAACGAGUGUGAGAGUGGAAAGUUCACACUGUGGCGGUAUCUUACCAGAAAGGGACGGGUAACUACGUG
rnacentral:rRNA from 1 species